rnacentral:rRNA from 1 species
GGGCCGCGAGGGAGACUGCCGAGCUAGAGGGUGGAAGAGGUCAGCGGUAUUUCUGGGGUAGGGGCGAAAUCCUUUGAUCCCAGGAGGACCACCAGUGGCGAAGGCUGCUGACUAGGACACGCCUGACGGUCAGGGACGAAAGCUGGGGGAGCGAAUCGGAUUAGAUACCCGAGUAGUCCCAGCCGUAAACGAUGCACGCUAGGUGUUGGAGCGGUCACGUACCGCCUCAGUGCCACAGGGAAGCCAUUAAGCCUGCCGCCUGGGGAGUACGGCCGCAAGGCUGAAACUUAAAGGAAUUGGCGGGGGAGCACCACCAGGCGUGAAGCCUGCGGUUUAAUUGGAGUC